CACACACACACACACACACACACACGCACACACACACACACACACACACACACACACACACACACACACACACACACACACAGAAAUAAAAAAAUCGUGCUCAAAGACUGUUUAGAAGCACCGUUUUACAGCUGUUUAGAAAACUCAGCUGGACGUUCACUGCUCCUCCCUGAAAGAUUCAAGGGACCUCCCUCUUUCUCUCACCCUCUCCCUCUCUUUCUUUCUCUCUCCCUCUUUUUCUCUCAUCCUCUCUUUCUUUCCCUCUCCCUCGUUUUUUUCUCUCUCACCCUCUCUCGCUCCCUCUUUCUUUCUUUUUCUCUCACCCUCUCUAGCUCCCUCUCCUUCUUUCUUUCUUUCUCCCUCUUUUUUCUCUCACUCUGUUUUUCUCUCUCUCCCUCUCACCUUUUCUCACUCAUCCUCUUUCUCUCCCUCUUUCUUUCUUUCUCCCUGUUUUCUCUCUGUCACCCUCUCUCGCUCCCUCUCUUUCUUUCUCCCUCUUUUUUCUCUCACCAUAUUUUUCUCUCUGUCACCCUCUCUCGCUCCCUCUUUCUUUCUUUCUUUCUUUCUUUCUUUCUUUCUUUCUUUCUUUCUUUCUUUCUUUCUUUCUUUCUUUCUCACUCUUUUCUCUCUCUCGCUCCCUCUCUUUCUUUCUCCCUCUUUUUUCUCUCACCAUCUUUUUCUCUCUGUCACCCUCUCUCGCUCCCUCUUUCUUUCUUUCUUUCUUUCUUUCUUUCUUUCUUUCUUUCUUUCUUUCUCACUCUUUUCUCUCUCUCGCUCCCUGUCUUUCUUUCUCCCUCUUUUUUCUCUCUCACCCUCUCUUGCUCCCUGUCUUUCUUUCUCCCUCUUUUUUCUCUCACCAUUUUUUUCUCUCUCUCACCCUCUCUAGCUCCCUCUCCUUCUUUCUUUCUUUCUUUCUCCCUCUUUUUUCUCUCACUCUCUUUUUCUCUCUCUCUCUCACCUUUUCUCACUCAUCCUCUUUCUCUCCCUCUCUUUCUUUCUUUCUUUCUCCCUGUUUUCUCUCUGUCACCCUCUCUAGCUCCCUGUUUCUUUCUUUCUCUCUCACCCUCUCUUGCUCCCUCUCUUUCUGUCUUUCUCCCUCUUUUUCUCUCUCUCACACCCUCAUAG
rnacentral:lncRNA from 1 species